GACGAACGCUGGCGGCGUGCUUAACACAUGCAAGUCGAACGCGAAAACCCUUCGGGGUGAGUAGAGUGGCGAACGGGUGAGUAACACGUGGGCAACCUGCCCCAAGGAGCGGGACAACCCGGGGAAACUCGGGCUAAUACCGCAUGAUUCGCCGGCACUCAAGUGCCGGCGGCAAAUGGUAGCUUCGGCCUCCGCCUUGGGAUGGGCCCGCGGCGCAUUAGCUUGUUGGUGAGGUAACGGCUCACCAAGGCGACGAUGCGUAGCUGGUCUGAGAGGACGAUCAGCCACACUGGGACUGAGACACGGCCCAGACUCCUACGGGAGGCAGCAGUGGGGAAUCUUGCGCAAUGGGCGGAAGCCUGACGCAGCAACGCCGCGUGUGGGAAGACGGCCCUCGGGUUGUAAACCACUUUCAGGGGGGACGAAGCUUCCAGGGUUAAUAGCCCAUGGGGUGACGGUACCCCCAGAAGAAGCCCCGGCUAACUACGUGCCAGCAGCCGCCGUAACAC
rnacentral:rRNA from 1 species